GCGCGAGUGGCGAAAUCGGUAGACGCGCCAGAUUUAGGUUCUGGUACCAGAAAUGGUGUGAGAGUUCGAGUCUCUUCUCGCGCA
rnacentral:tRNA from 1 species